ACGGAAGGCAGCAGUGAGGAAUAUUGGUCAAUGGACGAGAGUCUGAACCAGCCAAGUCGCGUGAAGGAUGAAGGUUCUAUGGAUUGUAAACUUCUUUUAUUCGAGGGUAAAGUGAGGUACGUGUACCUUAUUGCAAGUAUCGAAUGAAUAAGCAUCGGCUAACUCCGUGCCAGCAGCCGCGGUAAUACGGAGGAUGCGAGCGUUAUCCGGAUUUAUUGGGUUUAAAGGGUGCGUAGGCGGAAGAUUAAGUCAGUGGUAAAAGCGUGUGGCUCAACCAUACCAAGCCGUUGAAACUGGUUUUCUUGAGUGUAAACGAGGUAGGCGGAAUAUGACGUGUAGCGGUGAAAUGCUUAGAUAUGUCAUAGAACCCCGAUUGCGAAGGCAGCUUACCAGCAUACAACUGACGCUGAGGCACGAAAGCGUGGGUAUCAAACAGGAUUAGAUACCCUGGUA
rnacentral:rRNA from 1 species